GUGGGAGCUGGCUUGCCAGCGAUGGCGGUGGGUCAGCCAACAUCAAAUUGACUGACAGAAUGCAAUCGCUGGCAAGCCAGCUCCCAC
rnacentral:misc_RNA from 1 species